rnacentral:rRNA from 1 species
UACGUAGGGUGUAAGCGUUAUCCGGAAUUAUUGGGCGUAAAGAGCUUGUAGGCGGUUUGUCGCGUCUGCUGUGAAAUUUCGGGGCUCAACCCCGAACUUGCAGUGGGUACGGGCAGACUAGAGUGUGGUAGGGGAGACUGGAAUUCCUGGUGUAGCGGUGAAAUGCGCAGAUAUCAGGAGGAACACCGAUGGCGAAGGCAGGUCUCUGGGCAUUAACUGACGCUGAGGAGCGAAAGCAUGGGGAGCGAACAGG